rnacentral:pre_miRNA from 1 species
AAAGAUGCCAGCCCAUGCCCAGGUAUUUACAAACUGGGCAUGACCUGGCGUCCUCUU